UACGAAGGGGGGCUAGCGUUGCUCGGAAUUACUGGGCGUAAAGCGCGCGCAGGCGGUCUUCCAAGUCAGUGGUGAAAGCCUGGAGCUCAACUCCAGAACUGCCAUUGAAACUGUUAGACUUGAGUUCGGGAGAGGUGAGUGGAACUGCGAGUGUAGAGGUGAAAAUUCGUAGAUAUUCGCAAGAACACCAGUGGCGAAGGCGGCCCACUGGACCAUAACUGACGCUGAUGCACGAAAGCUAGGGGAGCAAACAGG
rnacentral:rRNA from 1 species